CUGGCCCACAACAGUACCCCCCGGGCUCAGCCUUGGUCUUGAUGCUGCUCCUCUAUGCCCAAUCCUGAGCCCAUGACAGCACCUGUGGACCCCAGUGCCCAGUCCAAUCUCCUUCAUGAAACCCUCUUCAGGGCACCCGGGAGGUUCUGCAUUUUCAAGAAAACAGCUCCUGGGUAGAGGGAGGCCCAGUGUUUGGGGCCGUGGAACGUGGCUUUCUAAGAGGAAGCAGCUUACAUGCACAGAUACAGCAGGAAAGAUCCAAGAGACGGCUCACGGCAGUGCUGCUGGAUAGAGCCCCAACCGGAAGCUACCCGACAGCCAUCAAAGGUGGGAUGGAAGGGGCGCCUGGGUGGCUCAGUCGGUUAAGCACCUGACAGUUCGUGGGUUCGAGCCCCAUGUCAGGUCCCAUGUGCUGACAGCUCAGAGCCUGGAGCCUGCUUCCCAUUCUGUGUCUCCCUCU